rnacentral:rRNA from 1 species
UACAGAGGGUGCGAGCGUUGUCCGGAAUUACUGGGCGUAAAGGGCGCGUAGGCGGCCCCAUAACGCGUGCCGUGAAAGCCCGGGGCUCAACCCCGGGUCGGCGGUGCGAACGGGGGGGCUGGAGCCCACCAGAGGCAGGCGGAAUUCCGGGUGUAGCGGUGGAAUGCGUAGAGAUCCGGAAGAACACCGGUGGCGAAGGCGCUCUGCUAGGCCGCAACUGACACUCAGGGACGAAAGCUAGGGGAGCGAAUGGG